rnacentral:lncRNA from 1 species
UGAUGAUGCAUUAGAUGUAAUACCAAAUAAUAAACAUCAAGCAAAUAAACACAUGUUACAAAUGUUUCAACCUUCGCAACGUAUGAAAAAAGAGACAAGAUUAAAAGAGGAAUGGAAAAUAUAUAAUGAAUAUAUUUAUGUAAAUACAAAAAAGUUAAAAAGAUAUAUUAAAUAUCAUUUAUUAUAUAUAAUUAAAAAUCAUAAAAAAUUGUUUUUUCCUUUACAUGUGUAUGUAAUAAAUGCCAAAUCAAAUGAGGAUGAAUAUUUUUUAUUUAUAAAAUGGGGAACAAUAAAAAAUUCAUAUAUUUAUUCAUCUUAUAGUUCGCUUAAUCGAGUAUCGAAAAUGAAAGAGUACUUUAAGAAGAUUGAUGAAAGAAUGUUACAAGUGUUAGAAAAACCAAAAGAUAUAUUUUUAUAUAAUAUUAAUGAUAACAACAAUGACAAUAUUCAUUAUAACACUAUGAAUUUUUAUGACAACAAUCCAUAUAUGUACAAUAGUAGUACAACUGGUGCUAAUAAUAUGAAUUUUAAUAAUAGUAAUAACAGGAGUUCAUUUAAUCCUUUGACUGGUAGAAAUACGUAUUUAGAUAAAGACUAUUUAUCAGAACGAGGUGGUACUUAUAUGUCUCAUAAUGAUAGAAAUAAAUUAAAAGGAUAUAAAGGUGAUUAUUUAAAUAUAAAAAAAGGUUUUAACAAUCCGAUACAUACUGCUACUAGUACUAGUACUACUGCUGAUAGUAAUACUUUUACUACUAAUGUUAUGAAUCCAAAUGAUGAUUAUUUAAAUAAAACUCCAAUCAAAAAUAUGUCUAGGAAUUUUUAUACUUCUCCUAUAGGUGCUACUAUAAAUCCGAACAUAGUAAAUGAUUCAACAAUACCAUAUAAUUACAAACAAAAUAGUAAAUAUGAUAAAAAUGAAAUAUAUUACGAUUAUUAUAACAACCUUCCAAGUAGUAUUCAUAGUAAGAAUAAUAAUUAUAAUAGUAAUAGAGAUAUAGGUAGAGAUGUAGGUAGUAGAGGUUAUUCUAAUGAUCCACACGAUAUUAAGAAACAAGGUGAAGAAAGUAAAAUAGGAGGUUGGAAUUAUUUGAAAAAAUUAAACUUAACUGGUAAAAAGAAUAAUGAUGAUAUAUUAAAUGAUGCAUAUAGGACUAGUAAGUAUACAUAUAAUAAUAAAACAGAUAAUAUUAAAAUGGAACGUAAAACCGCACACACAUAUAAUUUAGAAAAUGAUUUUAUGUUAAGUGAUAUAAAAGGUGGUAGUAGUAGUAGUAUUUAUAAUAUGUCUCCUCCACCUAGUAGUAGUAUGAGAUUUAAUAGGUUACAUGAUGUAUCGGAUCAUUCUAAAAUAAUAAACAAUGAAAAUAUAAAUAUUAAUGAACCUGUAAAUAUUAAUGAACCUGUAAAUAUAAACGAUUUAUAUUUGAUAAAUAAUAAUAAUAAUAAUAAUAGUCAUACGAGACGUUACACUUCUAAUGAUACGAAUCGGUAUGAUUCUUUAUUAAAAAAUGAUAUAUAUAAUUUUCGAAAUCCAAAUAUUGAUACGAAUAAUGAGAAUAGUCAUAGUAAAUAUAUAUACAGUAAUGACAUAUAUAAAACAACGAACAAUAUUAAUAAUUUUACAAACAAUUUAGAUUAUAAAUCAUAUGAUAAACUGGGUACUCUUUAUAACAAUAGAGAUCGUCCGGACAUAAAUCAAAUGUCUAAUGAAAACCAUUUGAGAAGUAGAUAUAGAAAUUUAAAUUUAAGUGAUCGAUAUGAUGAUAGUACAAGUAAAUAUAUAUAGAGAAUGUAUAUAUGCACACGCACAUAUUAUACAUAUAUAUAUAUAUAUAUAUAUAUAUAUAUAUAUAUAUAUAUAUAUAUAUAAUAUGCCUUAGUUGUAGGUUUCCAUUUGUAUGGAACUGCAAGAGCUUAUAUUUUUUUAUUGUUCAAUUAUAAUGUGUUUUGUUUGUGUUUGUUUUUUUUUUUCUUUCCUCUUCUUUCCUCUUCUUUUCUUUUCUUUUCUGUUUUUUUUUUUUUUUUUUUUUUUUUUGUUUUGUUACUAUGUUUUACCAUACUAUAUAUAUAAUACCUUUUUUGCUAUAUAUUAAUAUAUAUGCAAAACUCAAAAAUUUUAUUAUAAUGUGUUGCAUUGUUUGUUCAUUCUUAUAUGUGCGUAUGUAGGCUUAUGUAGGCGUAUGUAGGCUUAUGUAGGCUUAUGUAG